rnacentral:rRNA from 1 species
GGGAUAACGUUCCGAAAGGAACGCUAAUACCGCAUACGUCCUACGGGAGAAAGUGGGGGAUCUUCGGACCUCACGCUAUCAGAUGAGCCUAGGUCGGAUUAGCUAGUUGGUGAGGUAAAGGCUCACCAAGGCGACGAUCCUUAGCUGGUCUGAGAGGAUGAUCAGCCACACUGGGACUGAGACACGGCCCAGACUCCUACGGGAGGCAGCAGUGGGGAAUAUUGCACAAUGGGCGCAAGCCUGAUGCAGCGACGCCGCGUGGGGGAUGACGGCCUUCGGGUUGUAAACUCCUUUCGCUAGGGACGAAGCUUUUUGUGACGGUACCUAGAUAAGAAGCACCGGCUAACUACGUGCCAGCAGCCGCGGUAAUACGUAGGGUGCGAGCGUUGUCCGGAAUUACUGGGCGUAAAGAGCUCGUAGGUGGUUUGUCGCGUCGUUUGUGUAAGCCCGCAGCUUAACUGCGGGACUGCAGGCGAUACGGGCAUAACUUGAGUGCUGUAGGGGAGACUGGAAUUCCUGGUGUAGCGGUGGAAUGCGCAGAUAUCAGGAGGAACACCGAUGGCGAAGGCAGGUCUCUGGGCAGUAACUGACGCUGAGGAGCGAAAGCAUGGGGAGCGAACAGGAUUAGAUACCCUGGUAGUCCACGCCGUAAACGAUGGACACUAGUUGUUGGAUUAUUUCAGUGACUAAGCGAAAGUGAUAAGUGUCCCACCUGGGGAGUACGAUCGCAAGAUUGAAACUCAAAGGAAUUGACGGGGGCCCGCAC